rnacentral:lncRNA from 7 species
AAUAAAGGAGGGGGAGGAACUGCUAAAAUCCCAAAGGACUGAGCUUGGUCCAUUUUUCUAGUUCUCAAAACUCUAUGCGCUUUGGCACGGUAAACUUUUUGAGUUAUCCCUGAGCAAACUUCUGGCAGCUUGAAUUGACUAAGGGCAGCGUUUUAAAGGACAUUCUGCUUUACAGACCAUUGCUGUGGUUGGGGUAGCAGUGGGCUAUAGCUGCCUGGAGGUGCUGCUUUAUCAAAGUCUGGAGGCUGUGCAUUCACCUUCCUGACUCACCAGUGAGCCUGAACAGAAGCAUUUACUGGCUUCCACACAAACUUCAGGAGCUGACAGGGAGCAGACACGCUGCCAAGAAGCCAUCCUCCUUGGAAGAUAGAAGCAAGGUUCUCCUCCCAGCCAGGAGCUCAGGCGCAUAAGAAUGAAGCAGGCUCUGUUCUCCCUUUGCAGACACACAGUGCUCCUGCACACCACUGACCUGGCAAGAAAAGGUCCUAAACGUGCCCCAGACCCCGAGACACCUGGCCAGCUUCUUUAACCUUUUCAUGGAGGCCUUCUAAGCUAAGUAAUUUAUUUAUAGUAAUAUUUAUCCCUCUCAGACAUUUUCCUGGGGCGGUCUCUUUCAUACUUCUCUUCUUCUGAUUAGUUUCCAUAGUGACACUUAUUUGUAGAGUUUAGAGUUGCUCCUAGCAGGUUUCUGCAAAUGCCAGCCGCAUGUGCGCCAUGUUAAUAAGACAAAGCCAGCCCUAGUUCUUUCCUUUUGGUGGUUUGAUUUUGCUCUGUGUUUGGGAGCUCCCUUGGGGAAAAAAAACAAAACAAAACAAAAAGAAGUGGGGCAGAGGCUCUUUGGAUCCCAGAAGGUUAUUUUUCUGGGUGGUACUUUUGACUGAGCUAGUUCUGUCUGAAUGUCAGUGGCAGGCUCUGAAGUGCUGUCUGUCUGCGUGAACUAUUAUAUAAGCGAGGGAAACCUUCCAUUACAGCAAGGCCUUUAGACUGCUGCUUUAUUUAAAAUGCAGAAUUACAUCAAAAAGCAAUUCAGUUGAGUGGUGCCUUGUAGGUUGCCUUUUAUCCCAGGCUGAAGUAGGAACUUGUUUUUCUUCUAGGGAAAUUACUACUAUUUUAAAAAUAGGAGAAUGCUAAAAUCAGAUGCAAACUCGUAAACACAUGCAUGUACACACACAUCUUAACAGCAUGCUGUUCUGUGAAAGGGCUAAACAAAUGUCUGCAAUCAGGGGAUAAAAGGGACCUCCAUACUGACAAGAGCAAUUUCAGGAAUACGUC